rnacentral:rRNA from 1 species
AUGCAUGUCUCAGUACAAGCCGUCCUGUACGGUGAAACCGCGAAAGGCUCAUUAAAUCAGUUAUGGUUCCUUAGAUCGUACCCACGUUACAUGGAUAACUGUGGUAAUUCUAGAGCUAAUACAUGCCGACAGAGUUCCGACCAGCGCGUCGACGUUCGGCGGCUCGUCCGUCGUCGUCGGCCGUUCGGAAGGAGCGCUUUUAUUAGAUCAAAACCGGCCAAGCGUUUCGAACGCGCUUCGCGCGCGUUCGGGCGUAAGUGGCCCGCGCAAAGACUUGACGACUCUGAAUAACUUCGAGCUGAUCGCACGGUCCUAGUACCGGCGACGUAUCUUUCAAAUGUCUGCCUUAUCAACUGUCGACGGUAGGUUCUACGCCUACCGUGGUGGUAACGGGUAACGGGGAAUCAGGGUUCGAUUCCGGAGAGGGAGCCUGAGAAACGGCUACCACAUCCAAGGAAGGCAGCAGGCGCGUAAAUUAUCCACUCC